UGGUCUUGUAAACCAAAGCUGGGCCCCAACCAGCCCCUAAGGCA
rnacentral:tRNA from 1 species